UCAGGCUUUUCUAAUAUUUGGUUGGUUGAAAAUCAUUUUCCAGGGUAAAUAUGAAACACGGGAAAAGGAGGGCUUUGUUUAAGGAAAAUGUCUUACCCUUUUGAAAUCGGUAAGACAUUUUCCGAAAUUUUCCGAAAAUUGACGCUUCUUCUUCCCUUUCCCCUUCCUCUUCCCCUUCCUCUUGGGUUACAAAUCAGUUUGGUCGAGGGAGAACCGAAGCCAUUACAUGAACCUCUCCCUGUUUUAAAUCCUCAUCUCGAAGUUUCUGCCAUGAAAGCUGCUUCCUUCAACACUCUCCAUUUUCCGUCCAUCAUCACAAAAAGAACAUCAGCACAGCCAUGUCCAACUUGAUUCGCAAGAACCCUUUUUCUUAAACUCCCUCAGAGCUUCCAAAACAAUCCCUUUUUUAGACCGUCGUCUAAUUCCUUUGCUUCUUCUUUUUUCUUCGUUUCUUCUUCUUCCAACGCAUUCAUCGAGUCAACUGCCAACGGCACGUAUUUGGGUUGGAACAAAGCUUCGGAGAUUGAGAUCGAUGGUGGUGGACAAGCUAAGGCUCUGGGGUUCGGAGAAUUUACUGAUGUGGUAAAUCGACUGUGAAUUGCUUCAUCUUUCUGAUAGACCUGAGAAGUUCAUUAUUACGAAUAUUGCUGUGCCACCUACAGCUAUCCGACCUUCAGUCCCUGUGGAUAGCAAUGAAAAUGACAUUACUGAGAGGUUGAAAAGAAUUAUUCAGGCAAAUAGUAGCCUUCGUCAAGAAUUAGUAGAUGCUAGCAUUCAGUGAUUGAGCAUUUUUAGAGAAGAGAGGGGUUGAAAGAGAUGAUAAAAGGAGUAAUUUUUUAUUCAGGAUCAGCUGACCCUUUAAAUCCUAAGAGUUCUUUAGCUUAUGCUGCUCAUGGAACUAGGUCUGGAGACAUUCAUACGACAUAAACCACUAGCAACUUCAGGUUAUCACUCUUUGUAUCAAUGGUACCGUUCAGUCGAAAGUGAGCAUUUUCCAGAUCCUAGUGGUCUUCGUGCUCGUAUGGAGCAAUGGAUAUUUGGCCUCUAUCCAGCAUGUAUCAAGUAUUUCAUGUCCGCAUUUGAUGUUCCAGAGAAUUGCUAAUUACAAGUCAUUCACACGAUUCCACAUCAAUCGUGAUGGUAAUCUUGAAGUUUUCACUCUUGCAGUCGAUAAGGUUCCAAGGGAAUGGAUGUUGGAUCCUGAUUGGGAUAUGGAGCAGAAGCAGCCACAACAGUUGAGCCAUAGAGAAAUACCCUAGCAAAUGAAGUGCAACAGCAGAGUAGCAGGAUCCAGUGAAUAUAGUCAGGGUGGUUGACCAUUUUGUUAUAAGACAAAAUGAGAAACCUGAUUUUGUAUCAAGUAAUGGGUCAGUUAGUCGCUGAUCUUUGUUGUAACAUCAUUCUAAUUUCUUAAAUAUAGGCAGCAAUGAAGGGAAUGUAUAUACGUCAAAUUUCAUAAUUGUUUAGAUGGACUAACAUCAUUCAAAUGUUAAAUGUUAAUGCAGCUAAUAGUGGUUUUUCACAGCCAUAUCAUGCUUUGUAGUUGAGGGAUUUUUAAAUGGAAGUUUAUAGUUGAACUUUUGAUUAGAA